GACGAACGCUGGCGGCGUGCUUAACACAUGCAAGUCGAACGGAAAGGCCCCUUUGGGGGUACUCGAGUGGCGAACGGGUGAGUAACACGUGAGUAACCUGCCCUUGACUUCGGGAUAACUUCAGGAAACUGGGGCUAAUACCGGAUAGGAAUCCUUGCUGCAUGGUGCGGGUUGGAAAGCUUCGGCGGUUUUGGAUGGACUCGCGGCUUAUCAGCUUGUUGGUGGGGUAGUGGCUUACCAAGGCUUUGACGGGUAGCCGGCCUGAGAGGGCGACCGGCCACAUUGGGACUGAGAUACGGCCCAGACUCCUACGGGAGGCAGCAGUGGGGAAUAUUGCACAAUGGGCGGAAGCCUGAUGCAGCAACGCCGCGUGCGGGAUGACGGCCUUCGGGUUGUAAACCGCUUUCAGCAGGGGCGAAGCUUGUGGUGACGGUACCUGCAGAAGAAGCACCGGCUAACUACGUG
rnacentral:rRNA from 1 species